GAGUUUGAUCCUGGCUCAGAUUGAACGCUGGCGGCUAUGCUUAACACAUGCAAGUCGAACGGUAACGCGGGGGCAACCCUGGCGACGUAGUGGCGGACGGGUGAGGAAUGCUUGGGAAUCUGCCUGAGUUUAGUGGGGGUACAACCCGGGGAAACUCGGGCUAAUACCGCAUACGCUCUACGGAGGAAAGCGUGGGGACCGUAAGGCCUCGCGCUAACAGAUGAGCCCAAGUCGGAUUAGCUAGUUUGGUGGGGUAAAGGCCUACCAAGGCUACAGAUCCGUAGCUGGCUCUGAGAGGUACGAUCAGCCACACUGGGACUGAGACACGGCCCAGACUCCUACGGGAGGCAUGCAGUGGGGAAUAUUGGACAAUGGGGGCAACCCUGAUCCAGCAAUGCCGCGUUGUGUGAAGAAGGCCUGCGGGUUGUAAAGCACUUUUGGCAGGGAUGAAAAGCUAC
rnacentral:rRNA from 1 species